GAGGAAGAGGAAAAGGCAGCUAUGGAGGAAGAGAAAGCAACGACAAUAGGCCAAGUAAAGAGAGUUCUUCACAAAAGUAUUUUCAUUGCGACAAGCCAGGCCAUGUUGCGAAGGAUUGUUGGAAUAAAGGAAAACCUCAAUGUUUUAAGUGCAAGAAGUGGUGAAAAGAUUAUAGGACAAAUACAAAUCAAACAAACUUCAUGGAGGAGAAAGAAAGUGGUGAAAAUUAUUUUUUGCUUGCUAAAGUGUCAAAAAAAAGAAGAAUGAUGCACGGUACUUGGACAGUGGUUGUAGCUAGCAACCAUAUGACAUCGGAGAAGGAGAUCUU
rnacentral:lncRNA from 1 species